ACGGGUGAGUAACACGUGGGCAACCUGCCCUUGAGACUGGGAUAACUUCGGGAAACCGGAGCUAAUACCGGAUAAUAUAAGGAACCUCCUGGUUCCUUGUUGAAAGAUGGUUUCGGCUACCACUUAAGGAUGGGCCCGCGGCGCAUUAGCUAGUUGGUGAGGUAACGGCUCACCAAGGCGACGAUGCGUAGCCGACCUGAGAGGGUGAUCGGCCACACUGGGACUGAGACACGGCCCAGACUCCUACGGGAGGCAGCAGUAGGGAAUCUUCCACAAUGGACGAAAGUCUGAUGGAGCAACGCCGCGUGAGUGAUGAAGGCCUUCGGGUCGUAAAGCUCUGUUGUUAGGGAAGAACAAGUGCGAGAGUAACUGCUCGCACCUUGACGGUACCUAACCAGAAAGCCACGGCUAACUACGUGCCAGCAGCCGCGGUAAUACGUAGGUGGCAAGCGUUAUCCGGAAUUAUUGGGCGUAAAGCGCGCGCAGGUGGUUUCUUAAGUCUGAUGUGAAAGCCCACGGCUCAACCGUGGAGGGUCAUUGGAAACUGGGGAACUUGAGUGCAGAAGAGGAAAGUGGAAUUCCAA
rnacentral:rRNA from 1 species